rnacentral:tRNA from 1 species
GGGGACGUAGCUCAGUUGGGAGAGCGCGGGCUUUGCAAGCCUGAGGUCGAGGGUUCGAGCCCCUUCGUCUCCA